CCUACGGGAGGCAGCAGUGGGGAAUUUUGGACAAUGGGGGAAACCCUGAUCCAGCCAUUCCGCGUGAGUGAAGAAGGCCUUCGGGUUGUAAAGCUCUUUCGGCAGGAACGAAACGGCGGACUCUAACAUAGUCUGUCAAUGACGGUACCUGAAGAAGAAGCACCGGCUAACUACGUGCCAGCAGCCGCGGUAAUACGUAGGGUGCGAGCGUUAAUCGGAAUUACUGGGCGUAAAGCGUGCGCAGGCGGCUUUGUAAGACGGAUGUGAAAUCCCUGGGCUUAACCUAAGAACUGCGUUCGUGACUGCAAAGCUGGAGUGCGGCAGAGGGGGGUGGAAUUCCUGGUGUAGCAGUGAAAUUCGUAGAUAUCGGGAGGAACACCGGUGGCGAGGGCGGCUCUCUGGCCCGAUACUGACGCUGAGACGCGAAAGCGUGGGGAGCAAACAGGAUUAGAUACCCCUGUAGU
rnacentral:rRNA from 1 species